rnacentral:lncRNA from 1 species
UACUAGAAUGUAUGGAUACUUGUAGAAUAGAGACGCAGACGGCUGUUAAAGAUGCAGACGACUAUUGAAGAUGCGGAAGGCUUUUGAAGACGCAGACUAAAAAAGUGCGUGUCUCUCGAUCAUGAACAGGUUGUGCCAUAAUGUCAUAAUGCCAUGGUAAAUAAACCCAUACAAUAAUAGAUAUAGGUUAUAGAUGGACGUGUUCCCAGAGCAUAAAGGGUUGCGUGCUAAUGGCAAAGAUAAAGAACAUGUAUUCUGAUCAUGGACGAAGAAAUUGUCAGAUCUGGAGCAUAAAAUGUGUGUAAUCCCUCAAGUUUUGUUUUGACUGUCUUGAUUUUCCAAAGACAACGCUAAAAUUUAUAUUUGUUUCUGUUCAUACACAUGCCUUUCUGUAUCUAGUCAGUGGUACAAAUUGAUGACCCACAUUCAGAUGCACAAAGUAGUACAGCAGGUUUUGGAGAAUGCAGGCGAGUAAGUGUUUCUGUUUUACACACGCCUUUCUGUAUCAGUGCACUAAACAGGGUUACCAUGAAAACGAAAUGCACCUCUCAA